GACGAACGCUGGCGGCGUGCCUAAUACAUGCAAGUCGAACGCUGAAGGAGGAGCUUGCUUCUCCGGAUGAGUUGCGAACGGGUGAGUAACGCGUAGGUAACCUGCCUGGUAGCGGGGGAUAACUAUUGGAAACGAUAGCUAAUACCGCAUAACAGUAGAUGUUGCAUGACAUUUGCUUAAAAGGUGCAAUUGCAUCACUACCAGAUGGACCUGCGUUGUAUUAGCUAGUUGGUGAGGUAACGGCUCACCAAGGCGACGAUACAUAGCCGACCUGAGAGGGGGAUCGGCCACACUGGGACUGAGACACGGCCCAGACUCCUACGGGAGGCAGCAGUAGGGAAUCUUCGGCAAUGGACGGAAGUCUGACCGAGCAACGCCGCGUGAGUGAAGAAGGUUGUCGGAUCGUAAAGCUCUGUUGUAAGAGAAGAACGAGUGUGAGAGUGGAAAGUUCACACUGUGACGGUAUCUUACCAGAAAGGGACGGCUAACUACGUG
rnacentral:rRNA from 1 species